CUUGAUCGACCCGAGCCACAGCGGCCGACCCUCCGGGCGAUCCUGACCGUAGGUGGCCAGCAACGCCUGCGCCUC
rnacentral:antisense_RNA from 1 species